rnacentral:rRNA from 1 species
GAUGAUUCUCAAACUUUAAAUGCGCACGGAUGUUGCCGCUUGGGUGGGCGGCAUCUCUAGAAACUUGAGCUUUGUGGGCCACUUUUGGUAAGCAGAACUGGCGAUACGGGAUGAACCGUAAGUGUGGUUAAGGCGUCAAAUUGUCCGCUUAUAGAUUCCAAAAAAGGUGUUGAUUCAUCGAGACAGCAGGACGGUGGCCAUGGAAGUCGGAAUCCGCUAAGGAGUGUGUAACAACUCACCUGCCGAAUGAAUUAGCCCUGAAAAUGGAUGACGCUAAAGCGGGCAGCCGACACCACGCCGUUUGGGAAAAAUGUGAACAAAAAAACUCAAAUGAGUAGGAGGAACGUGGCGGUCGUGGUGAAGCGUGCGUGCAAACGUGCGUGGAACGUCCGCUAGUGCAGAUCUUGGUGUUAGUAGCAAAUAUUCAAACGAGAACCUUGAAGGGCGAAGCGGGGAAGGGUUCCACGCGAACAUUGAUUGAGCGUGGGUAAGUCGUUCCUAAGCCGCGUGGCAAUAGCUAAUUACCGGCGAAAGGGAAGCAGGUUGAUAUUCCUGCACACGGAUGUGGAAGCGGUGACGCAUACUUGGGACGGUGAAGCUGGCGAUAGCUCUGGGCAGAGUUUUCUUUUCUGUUUAACUUGUCUGUGCUUGCAGUGUGGAAUCCGCUUGUCGGGAGAAACACGCGAGUCUGGGAAUAGCGCCGGGUUUUUUUCCGGCGUCCAGAACGCUAUCGUCGGACCUUGAAAAACUGUCUGCAGGCAUCAUUAUUGUAAUGUUGUCGAUAGUAAAAAUCCACGCCGUUACGUACCGAUAACCGCAUCAGGUCCCCAAGGUGAACAGCCUCUGCUCGAUAUGAAAAAUGCAGGUAAGGGAAGUCGGCAAAUUGGACCCGUAACUUUGGGAAAAGGGUUGGCUCUAGUGCUGCGUGGGAUACGCUGCAUCAGUGUGAUUUUUGGCGGGAAGUUGUACCUUCUGCUGGGAAAGCGUGUGCCUCCGGGUGGACGUGGACUCGGCGGGAGUCGACAGACUGCUGGGGAAAGCCUGGUGUGGCGGCCUACGGUAUGCAGCAAACUAGAAC